AUAAUGAUGUAUAAAAUAAAUAUUUUUGGGAGAUGACGCCGAAGACAUUUUAAAUAAGUUUCGAAAUUACGUGUAUUAAAAUGUUCUAUGAACACAUUAUUUUGGCCAAGAAGGGUCCUUUGGCCAGGAUCUGGUUAGCAGCUCACUGGGACAAAAAGAUUACAAAAGCCCAUGUAUUUGAAACGAAUAUUGAAAAAUCAGUGGAAGGCAUUUUGCAGCCCAAAGUAAAAUUGGCGCUAAGAACGUCUGGUCAUUUGUUGCUUGGAGUUGUGCGCAUUUAUUCAAGAAAAGCUAAGUAUUUAUUAGCUGAUUGCAAUGAAGCAUUUGUUAAGAUUAAGAUGGCUUUUCGACCAGGCAUGGUCGACCUACCAGAAGGUCACAGAGAAGCGAAUGUUAAUGCAAUAACACUACCCGAAGUUUUUCAUGACUUUGACACGGCGUUACCCGAAUUGAACGAUAUUGACAUUGAAGCUCAAUUUUCCAUUAACCAGUCCAGAGCUGACGAGAUAACAAUGAGAGAAGAUUACGGCAGCUUAACUAUCUCUCUACAAGAUGAUGGCUUUGGAGACAUAGGUUUCGAAGCGGAAACACCAGAAAUUAUGCGAGGAUCUAUAACUUCAAAUAUCAAUGACAAGCUAUUUGACAGUGACGUGUUGGAAAAUAUUGUGUCACUGGAGCCACAUUCAACCGACGACCAUGCUGAUAUAUCUGGAGCUCGAUUAGAUGGUGAUGGAUUUGGAGAUUCUUUUGGACAGCCAGAACUUUUUGAAGAUGACCUUUUUGGAGAACCUUCUCAACCAGUCGAGCAGAUUAAAAAACCUUCAGACGUAAUCAUCGCUGAUGAUUCUGACGAAGAUGACAUUAUUAAUUGUAACAACAUUCCUUCGCCUGCCCCAUCGUUUAUAAAUUCAGUUGUUGAUGAGAAAGAUGAAACUAAUUUGCCAGAACCAUCCAAUGUGUCUGAUAAUGUGCUAAUAAAUGAAGUAACUCUUAUUCCAAACGAGGAUGAGGGAUUUGCAUUAGCUCCUCUUGAUGCAACCAUUUAUAGGGGCGUGACAAAGGCGAAGCGUAAGAGAAAACUUAUUAUUGACGAAAUCAAAAAUAUUUCUGGAGAAGAAAUGAAGGCUCAAUUGGCAGAUACUUCUGAUAUAUUAACAACACUGGAUCUGGCUCCACCUACAAAAAGGUUAAUGUAUUGGAAAGAAACAGGAGGCGUUGAAAAACUGUUCUCAUUACCAUCAAGAUCCAUACCUGCCAGGUCCUUACUUACUAAUUACAACAGACAGUUGUUUUCACAUUCAACAUUCUUUGAAGACUUUUCAAGUGUUGCUCCUAUGGAAAUUCUUGCACUGGAAUUUUAUGCUCAAGAAAACGAAAAUUCAUUAAUUAUUUUUAAUAAAAAAGGACGCAAACGUAAAAACGAUCUUUCUUCCCAUCAGUUUUUGGACCAUGUAGCAGAUUCACUUAUUCAAAGCCUAGAGACCCCUGAAACCUUAAGAGAAGAUAAGAAACCUCUAGGGCUGUCUGCCGUUUCUUUGGACAUUGCAACAAAAGACCAAGAAAGUAUUGCUUGUCAAAACGAAUCAACUCUUUUUGAUAAUGUGCGAAGUCCAGACUUAUUAUCCUUAAAUGAAAUGGAACAAUUUUCAUCAAUAAAUGAACUGCCAUUAACACCAAGAAACACAAAUCAUGACAUGGGGGAUGAUUUUAAUCAAGGAGACUCAACGCCAGCUGGAUUGGAUCAUGGCCAAACAAGCCCGCAGCAAUCAAAUAUUGUCGAGAUGGAUAAUAUCCCAAUUAUACCUACAGAUCAAAUUAGCGCAAUUUUAAAUGAAUCUAUUGAACGGCCUUUAUUAAAUGACAUUGGAUUUUUAAAAAAAACAAACAAUAUUCUAAAAGGAUGGAACAACUAUGAUGUUCCAACUUUUGUUGGUCAGAGUCAUAGUGACGAACAAAUUAUUUACACUCUAACAUUUUAUAAAAUCGGACAAUUCAUUAAAGUUAUGUCCGCCGCUAAAUGGAGUAGUUUGCGAAAUCGGAAAUAGUCGCUAUGGUUCCCACAUUUUUGUAGCUAGAGAAUUUAAAUUUGACAUUCAGAUUAUAUUAGUGCCAAUAAAGUCAAUGUUUGCACUGGACGACCACUCUGAAGCCCGAAAUUCCAAUAGUUUGUGCACCUCCAUUUUUGAAGAUUUUACACUUUAUUUUUUUUAGUCAUAGUGACGAGCAAAUGGAAAAUGAGACCGACGAACAAUUCGAAGAACGUGUGUUAAAUAAGAGAGCCGCACAACUUUUUAUUGACGUUCGAGCACAGUUUAUCG